rnacentral:rRNA from 1 species
AGUGAACGCUGGCGGUAGGCCUAACACAUGCAAGUCGAACGGCAGCACAGUAAGAGCUUGCUCUUACGGGUGGCGAGUGGCGGACGGGUGAGGAGUACAUCGGAAUCUACUCUUUCGUGGGGGAUAACGUAGGGAAACUUACGCUAAUACCGCAUACGACCUACGGGUGAAAGCAGGGGAUCUUCGGACCUUGCGCGAUUGAAUGAGCCGAUGUCGGAUUAGCUAGUUGGCGGGGUAAAGGCCCACCAAGGCGACGAUCCGUAGCUGGUCUGAGAGGAUGAUCAGCCACACUGGAACUGAGACACGGUCCAGACUCCUACGGGAGGCAGCAGUGGGGAAUAUUGGACAAUGGGCGCAAGCCUGAUCCAGCCAUACCGCGUGGGUGAAGAAGGCCUUCGGGUUGUAAAGCCCUUUUGUUGGGAAAGAAAAGCAGCAGGUUAAUACCCCGCUGUUCUGACGGUACCCAAAGAAUAAGCACCGGCUAACUUCGUG